UGCAAUACUUGAAAAGGGUACCUAUCACUCGGGUGCUUGAGCUGCUCUUACCGAAAAGAGUAAGAGCAGACUAAAGCUUAGAAUUCGACUGGUUCUACCUUGGUGCUGACACUGAAGAGAUUUCUGCAGGUAGGGUGAUUUCAAACUCUUCAUCUUUGAUCCCUUCUUCACAGAAAUGAGAAGAUGAGCUAAAAGGAAGGAAUAGGUGAUGACGAACAGAGGGAGCAAAGGCAACGACCACCUUGACAAACGGAGGUGAUGACGACAAGGAAGAGAAUGGGGAGGGCUAGCUGUCUAGGGUUUGACUUGGAUUCUACGCUUUAAACAUAACUUUAGGCGGGUUGCUCGGGUUGAAACAGCCAUUUCACAGGUAAACAGCCAUUUCACAACCAGUUUAAGCCGUAUUUUUCUAUACAGGCCUCCAUGCAAACAAGCUGGUGGAGGGGCUACAACAUUUCUAAGUUCCAGAGUUCUAAGAUGGAAAAGACUGGUUGGAUGUUGUUUACCAUAUGGUAACGAGAGGUAAAAUUACACAUUUGUCCCUUUGCAAUUCUCCCUCCUCGCCAAAUGAGCCAGCCUAGGAGGGUAUCAUCCUUGUACUUAACUUUUUAUGGUGGAAAGUAAUACGAGUCUAUAUAUUUCACUUAAAUUAGUGGAAAGUAAUACACGUAUUUCAUUUAGAAUAAUUCCUUCUAAAUUUAAUAUGUGAUUAGAAACCUUGCUGAAAUGAUUCCUAUGUUUGUGUUGAUGUAUAAUGAGAGAACUCGAAAACUGCCCCCAAUAUGCAAAUGUUUUAUUGAACAAACAGGCUAAGCUGCAAUGUUUGGUUGCCAUUGGCCGAUAAAUAAUCUGAAGUGGACAUCAUUUCCAGUGUUUGGUCCCAUUAAAAAUCAUGGAAGGAAUUAUAUGAUUUGAUCAAUUUUGAGAUCAA